GAUUGAACGCUGGCGGCAGGCCUAACACAUGCAAGUCGAACGGUAACAGGAAGCAGCUUGCUGCUUCGCUGACGAGUGGCGGACGGGUGAGUAAUGUCUGGGAAACUGCCUGAUGGAGGGGGAUAACUACUGGAAACGGUGGCUAAUACCGCAUAACGUCGCAAGACCAAAGAGGGGGACCUUCGGGCCUCUUGCCAUCAGAUGUGCCCAGAUGGGAUUAGCUUGUUGGUGAGGUAACGGCUCACCAAGGCGACGAUCCCUAGCUGGUCUGAGAGGAUGACCAGCCACACUGGAACUGAGACACGGUCCAGACUCCUACGGGAGGCAGCAGUGGGGAAUAUUGCACAAUGGGCGCAAGCCUGAUGCAGCCAUGCCGCGUGUAUGAAGAAGGCCUUCGGGUUGUAAAGUACUUUCAGCGGGGAGGAAGGUGUUGUGGUUAAUAACCGCAGCAAUUGACGUUACCCGCAGAAGAAGCACCGGCUAACUCCGUGCCAGCAGCCGCGGUAAUACGGAGGGUGCAAGCGCUAAUCGGAAUUACUGGGCGUAAAGCGCACGCAGGCGGUCUGUCAAGUCGGAUGUGAAAUCCCCGGGCUCAACCUGGGAACUGCAUUCGAAACUGGCAGGCUUGAGUCUUGUAGAGGGGGGUAGAAUUCCAGGUGUAGCGGUGAAAUGCGUAGAGAUCUGGAGGAAUACCGGUGGCGAAGGCGGCCCCCUGGACAAAGACUGACGCUCAGGUGCGAAAGCGUGGGGAGCAAACAGGAUUAGAUACCCUGGUAGUCCACGCCGUAAACGAUGUCUACUUGGAGGUUGUGCCCUUGAGGCGUGGCUUCCGGAGCUAACGCGUUAAGUAGACCGCCUGGGGAGUACGGCCGCAAGGUUAAAACUCAAAUGAAUUGACGGGGGCCCGCACAAGCGGUGGAGCAUGUGGUUUAAUUCGAUGCAACGCGAAGAACCUUACCUGGUCUUGACAUCCACAGAAGAAUCCAGAGAUGGAUUUGUGCCUUCGGGAACUGUGAGACAGGUGCUGCAUGGCUGUCGUCAGCUCGUGUUGUGAAAUGUUGGGUUAAGUCCCGCAACGAGCGCAACCCUUAUCCUUUGUUGCCAGCGAUUAGGUCGGGAACUCAAAGGAGACUGCCAGUGAUAAACUGGAGGAAGGUGGGGAUGACGUCAAGUCAUCAUGGCCCUUACGACCAGGGCUACACACGUGCUACAAUGGCGCAUACAAAGAGAAGCGACCUCGCGAGAGCAAGCGGACCUCAUAAAGUGCGUCGUAGUCCGGAUUGGAGUCUGCAACUCGACUCCAUGAAGUCGGAAUCGCUAGUAAUCGUGGAUCAGAAUGCCACGGUGAAUACGUUCCCGGGCCUUGUACACACCGCCCGUCACACCAUGGGAGUGGGUUGCAAAAGAAGUAGGUAGCUUAACCUUCGGGAGGGCGCUUACCACUUUGUGAU
rnacentral:rRNA from 1 species